UACGGAGGGUGCGAGCGUUGUCCGGAAUCACUGGGCGUAAAGGGUGAGUAGGUGGCCUGUUAAGCGUGUGGUGAAAGCCUGGGGCUCAACCCCAGGUCUGCCGUGCGAGCUGACAGGCUUGAGCAGAGUAGAGGCGAGUGGAAUUUCGGGUGUAGCGGUGGAAUGCGUAGAUAUCCGAAAGAACACCGGUGGCGAAGGCGACUCGCUGGGCUUUUGCUGACACUGAAUCACGACAGCGUGGGGAGCAAACAGG
rnacentral:rRNA from 1 species